UAGGGAAUCUUCCACAAUGGACGCAAGUCUGAUGGAGCAACGCCGCGUGAGUGAAGAAGGUUUUCGGAUCGUAAAGCUCUGUUGUUGGUGAAGAAGGAUAGAGGUAGUAACUGCCCUUUAUUUGACGGUAAUCAACCAGAAAGUCACGGCUAACUACGUGCCAGCAGCCGCGGUAAUACGUAGGUGGCAAGCGUUGUCCGGAUUUAUUGGGCGUAAAGCGAGCGCAGGCGGAAGAAUAAGUCUGAUGUGAAAGCCCUCGGCUUAACCGAGGAACUGCAUCGGAAACUGUUUUUCUUGAGUGCAGAAGAGGAGAGUGGAACUCCAUGUGUAGCGGUGGAAUGCGUAGAUAUAUGGAAGAACACCAGUGGCGAAGGCGACUCUCUGGUCUGCAACUGACGCUGAGGCUCGAAAGCAUGGGUAGCGAACAGG
rnacentral:rRNA from 1 species